rnacentral:rRNA from 1 species
UCAGGACGAACGUUGGCGGCGCGCUUAAUGCAUGCAAGUCGAGGGAGAAGCGUUGGUUCCGUAAGGUUCCGACGUGGAAACCGGCGAACGGGUGCGUAACACGUGAGAAACCUGCUCCCCAGACCGGGAUAGCCCAGGGAAACUUGGAUUAAUACCGGAUACUCUCUUUGGAUCGCAUGAUCCGUUGAGGAAAAGUCCGCUGCUGGGGGAUGGUCUCGCGGCCUAUCAGGUAGUUGGUGAGGUAACGGCUCACCAAGCCGAAGACGGGUAGCUGGUCUGAGAGGACGAUCAGCCACACUGGAACUGAGACACGGUCCAGACUCUACGGGAGGCAGCAGCAGGGAAUAUUGCACAAUGGGCGAAAGCCUGAUGCAGCGACGCCGCGUGCGGGAUGAAGGCUUCGGGUUGUAAACCGCUUUCAGGAGGGAAGAAAAUGACGGUACCUCCAGAAGAAGCUCCGGCCAAUACGUGCCAGCAGCCGCGGUAAUACGUAGGGAGCGAACGUUGUCCGGAUUUAUUGGGCGUAAAGGGCUCGUAGGCGGUUCAGCAAGUCGGUCGUGAAAGCCCGGGGCUCAACCCCGGGAUGCCGGUCGAAACUGCUGUGACUUGAGUUCGGUAGAGGUGAGUGGAAUUCUCGGUGUAGCGGUGGAAUGCGCAGAUAUCGAGAGGAACACCCGUAGCGAAGGCGGCUCACUGGGCCGAUACUGACGCUGAGGAGUCGAAAGCAUGGGGAGCAAACAGGAUUAGACAWCUCCUGGUAGUCCAUGCYGUAAACGAUGAACACUAGGUGUAGCGGAUUGAUUCAUGUCUGCUGUGCCG